rnacentral:rRNA from 1 species
UUCCUACGGGGGGCAGCAGUGGGGAAUAUUGCACAAUGGGGGAAACCCUGAUGCAGCGACGCCGCGUGGGUGAAGGAGUAUUUCGGUAUGUAAAGCCCUAUCAGCAGGGAAGAUAAUGACGGUACCUGACUAAGAAGCCCCGGCUAACUACGUGCCAGCAGCCGCGGUAAUACGUAGGGGGCAAGCGUUAUCCGGAUUUACUGGGUGUAAAGGGAGCGUAGACGGCAGCGCAAGCCUGGAGUGAAAGGAUGGGGCCCAACCCCAUGACUGCUCUGGGAACUGUGCGGCUAGAGUGCCGGAGGGGG